rnacentral:rRNA from 1 species
AUUGAAUGCUGGCGGCAUGCCUUACACAUGCAAGUCGAACGGUAACAGGUCUUCGGAUGCUGACGAGUGGCGAACGGGUGAGUAAUACAUCGGAACGUGCCCGAUCGUGGGGGAUAACGAGGCGAAAGCUUUGCUAAUACCGCAUAAGAUCUAUGGAUGAAAGCAGGGGACCGCAAGGCCUUGCGCGAACGGAGCGGCCGAUGGCAGAUUAGGUAGUUGGUGGGGUAAAGGCUUACCAAGCCUACGAUCUGUAGCUGGUCUGAGAGGACGACCAGCCACACUGGGACUGGGACACGGCCCAGACUCCUACGGGAGGCAGCAGUGGGGAAUUUUGGACAAUGGGCGCAAGCCUGAUCCAGCCAUGCCGCGUGCAGGAUGAAGGCCUUCGGGUUGUAAACUGCUUUUGUACGGAACGAAAAGCCUCUUUCUAAUAAAGGGAGGUCAUGACGGUACCGUAAGAAUAAGCACCGGCUAACUACGUGCCAGCAGCCGCGGUAAUAC